rnacentral:tRNA from 1 species
GCGGGAGUAGUUCAGUAGUAGAACGUCUCGUUGCCAACGAGAAGGUCGCGGGUGCGAUACCCGUCUCCCGCUCCA